CAUCUGCAUGGGCACUGAAGGACAUGUACUCCACCUGUAGCUUCACAUCCAGCUGGCUCGAAGAAAAUAAAAAGAAGUCCCUCUCCCUGCAUCUCUUUGAGUCACGGAUGGUUGUGGCAUAUGUGGACUCUGAGAUAAGGAUGUCUGGACGGCACUUGUCAAUCCAUGCAGCCCUACAGAAAUAUAACAUACACACGCAGAAGAAAGCUUGAGAGACUGUAAGGAGUGUAAACGACAGACUGAGAUCCCACUUUAAUAUGCACCAUAGCAGCUCCCAGCACAUGGCCUGCAUAGUAAGCCUUGAUCUCCAGCUCAUCAUCCACCUGCAAUUAGCAGAAUACAAACAACUAUCU